GUUACCAUUAUUGUAUCACAGGGUUAAUUUGAUUAUAAUAUGAUCCGGACAUUACGGUCCGAGUUUUAGUAUGAUCCGGACAUUGCGGUCCAAGCUUUAGUAUGAUCCGGACAUUGCGGUCCGGACGUUAGUCGUACCCUUUGGCAAUCUUAGAGGAAGUUUGCAAUGGCGUGCUCCGGCACUGUACACAUUUCAUGUCAAAGGAAACUUUAGGUCCCCCACAGGGUGAGUUUAUUCCCUGCCCAUAUCAAUUCUUGCCGAUCGAACAUUUAUUGCAUUGAUUAUAUGAUUGUCAACAUUAGUCUGUAAAAGAUAUGAUCUGUAUGUGUGUUCGAAAUGUCAGUCAUAUGAACUGUCUGUCAUUCAGUGAAGCACAUGGUCCGUGCCAUCUAGUCAUGUUUAGGAUCUAUAUAUGUCAGUAUUAUUUCGUAUAUUAGUUUAUUAAUAUGUCUUAUGUAAAUUCUACUCAGCGACAGUGUAGGAAUAAGACAUCAGACGAAUUAUAGUUGUAUUUUGGUCAGAAAGCGAUUAGGUCAAUUCGUCCUAUUAUUACUUACCUUGGACAAAACGUCCUAUUAGUCAUUUGAGUUAAUUAUAUCUAUAAAUGUGUUUUAAACUAUUGUUGUUACUCUGUCCAUCCAUGAAUACUCCAAAGAUAGUGUAUAUAUAUCCAGCAAAGAAAUCUAGUCAGUUUAUUAAGUGAUAUUUGUGUUAAAUAUCCGAUUAUUGCUCAAAAUCAGUUUUGUAUUCGAAUAUCAGUGAAAGAAAGGCAUAUGUUAGACAUAAUGGUUUGCAUAGUGACAGUGUGUACAUCUGUAUCAUAUUCUCAUUGUGUUUUCAUUUUCAUAUGUUGUAGUCUUUUACCUUCCUCCGGGGAGUUUUGUGGAAUAAAGUCGUAUAACAUCACAGUAAAAGACCUGCGACUCAGACCUCAGGAUCUGUAAAGAUGGAUUCAAUACAUGAACAACGCACCAGAAACCUGACACCAGGAGGAGAAACACUUUUCCUAAGCAGGGUAGAAGACUUCUGCAAAAGUUUGUCAAAACAAGGAGAGAGGAUUAACGGAUUAAUCAGUCAGACCAUGACCAGUAUGGAAGAAGGUUUAAUAGAUGAGCUAGCUAAGAGCAGGACAGUCUAUUUGGAUAUUUCGAAUCAAUUCAUUGAUUUCCUCCAUAGGACACGUACCAUGGACAGUGCUAGGGAACUUUCUGCUCAUGGCCUUAUUCGUGAAAGUUUUCUGUCAAAGAUUGAUUUAGCUUUAGAGGCCACUCAGAAGUAUGUACCACCUAAAAUAGAACACGAGGAAUCAAAAUCACCUAAUGCUGGACACAAGACACCUUGCCAUUCGUCGAAAGCUUCAUCAUGUUCAUCUCAGUCGAGUCGCUCGCACAAGUCGUCUGCAAGUUACAUAUUAACGAAACAAAGAUUGAAACAUGAAAGGGCAAAGGUUCAACUAGAAUUUAUGAAGAAAGAGGCUCAAGUUCUGAAACAACAAGCAGAGGUUGAUGUGAGUCUUAAAUUGCUGCGGUCAGAAAGAAACUUGAAAGAGGCGGAGGCUGAGCUUGAUGCAGUUCAUGAUCUUAUUGAGGAAGAGAAUGGAUCUGUUGAUUAUGAUAUAAGGUCGACUAAAAAAGAAAGAACAGCUGCAUUUGUGAAUAGUGCAAUUGAUCAUGUUGGUCGCGAGGUAAUGCAACCAAGUCCUACACCUGGUGUGCUUCAACAACCAAGUCCUGCACCUGGUACGCUUCAACAACCAAGUUUGGCGCAUGGUAUGCUUCAACAACCAAGUUUGUUGCCUGGUAUGCUUCAACAACCAAGUCUGUCACCUGGUGUGCUUCAACAACCAAGUCUGUCGCCUGGUAUGCUUCAACAACCAAGUCCUGCACCUGGUAUGCUUCAACAACCAAGUUUGUCGCCUGGUAUGCUUCAACAACCAAGUCCUGCACCUGGUAUGCUUCAACAACCAAGUCUGUUGCCUGGUAUGCUUCAACAACCAAGUUCGUCACCUGGUAUGCUUCAGCCAACAAAUUCACCUGCAUGUGGCAUGCUUCGUCCAGAGGCCACCGAAUUCCAACCAACAUGCAGAGAUACCAAUGAACUCACAAAGUUUCUAAUGAAAAGAGAUUUAUUAUUGUCUAGAUUCACACAGUUUUCGGACGAACCACAACGUUACACAUUGUGGAAAAAUAGUUUUAAGAAUCUCAUUAGGGAGCUUGAAGUCACUGCUACAGAAGAACUUGAUCUACUUAUCAGAUGGUUAGGACCCGAGUCCACCCAACAAGCUUUGAGCCUCAGGGCUGCACACACUCAUGAUGAAAGAUUAGCAAUCAUAAGGAUUUGGGAGAGACUUGACAGUCGUUACGGCGCUCCAGAACUUGUUAUACAUUCCUUCAAGAAAAGGCUUGAGGUAUUACCCAAAUUAACAUACAAAGAUAAUGUAAAGAUGUAUGAACUGUCAGACCUACUCAUUGAGAUGCAAGCCUUAAAGGAGAAUGUCAUGUACACCACUUCCCUGGCCUACCUAGAUUCUUCAGCUGGAAUCAACCCCAUAGUGGCCAAACUUCCAGCAUUCAUACAAAGGAAAUGGACGGAUACAGCGUUUAGAUACAAGAAAGACCAAGGCGUCCUUUAUCCACCAUUCAACAUUUUCACUGGCUUCAUGAAGGGUAUGACGGAACGAUUGAACGAUCCAGGUCUGCAGUUUGACCCUCAACAAUCGACACAGGUCAAAGCCCAGGUUAACAGUGUUGGUAAACGGACCGGAAAUAGAAUGAUGCUGUCUGCUAAGAAGACUAAUGUAGAGAAACCAGUCCCUCCAGCUCAUAUUUGUCCUAUUCAUGGUGGAAGUGCCCGUCAUAGCUUGAAAGACUGUCGCUUAUUCCUAGCCAAGACUGUGCUGGAAAGGAAAGAAGUGCUUAAAAAGAACGGUUAUUGCUUUAAAUGCUGUGAGGACAAACACCUAGCGAAAACCUGUAAAGUAGCUGUGAAGUGUGAUAUUUGUGGUGGUAGUCGUCACCCUACAGUACUUCAUGAACAAUUUCUCUCGGAGAAGUCCCCACCAGUCCAUGGAGGGGAGUGUAGUCCUUCAUCACCUCCCGGAAGAGAACCAAACUAUCUUCAAGCUAGUAGCAGUUGCACACAAGUGUGUAAGGACUCCAGGGGAUUCAGCAAAUCAUGUGCUAAAACAAUUUUGGUCAAAGUCUAUCCUAAAGGAGAGCCAGACAAAUCCAUCCGUCUCUACGCCAUAAUAGACGAUCAAAGCAACAUGUCGUUAGCCAGAACAGCCUUUUUCGACAGCUUUGGAGAAAAUAGCCAAUAUACAGAAUAUACCAUGGCUUCUUGUUCUGGACUUAAUUCCUCCUCUGGAAGGAAGGCGCAAGGAUACGUUGUGGAGUCAAUGGAUGGAGAUUUUGCUCUUGAUCUACCAGUCUUACUGGAAUGUGACAAUAUCCCAAAUAACCGUAAUGAAAUACCUACCCCUGAGGCGGCUCACUUCCAUUCUCAUCUGCGGGACAUCUCUCAACACCUUCGACCUCUCGAUAGGAACGCAGAUAUUCUGAUGUUGAUAGGUCGUGACAUGCCUGCAGCACACCACAUCAUAGAUCAGAGGAUAGGGCCCUCAGAUGGACCAUAUGCGCAGCGCCUCAAGCUCGGAUGGGUAGUUGUUGGUGAGGUGUGUCUUGGUAAAGUUCACCAGACAUCCUACAUCACUGCAAAUAAGGUACACACCCUUGCCAAUGGUCGUCCUUCAUUAUUGGAACCUUGUCCCAAUUGCUUCGACUUCAAAGAAGACAUUCCUAAGACAGAUAACUUCCCCCUGUUUGUAAAGAAUCCCCAUGAUGAUAAACCUGGUCUUUCCUUGGAGGACAAAGAGUUUUUGCAUGUGAUGGACACUGGCUUCAGGAAAAAUGAUCAUGGUCAGUGGGAAGCUCCUCUUCCAUUAAAAACGGAUCGUCCGCGACUGCCUGACAACAGGGCUCAGAGUCUACGAAGGGCAAGGACCUUGGAUACAAGUCUCCGAAGAGACUCUCAGAAAUGUUCCCAUAUGAUGGAGUUCAUGUCUAAAGUGUUGGAUAAGGGACACGCAGAAGUUGCCUCUGAUCUUGACGAUGAAGAAGAGCGUUGGUAUUUGCCUCUCUUUGGAAUUUACCAUCCUAAAAAGCCAGAUAAAAUUCGUUGUGUUUUUGACUCUUCGGCUAAGGAAAAUGGCCUGUCGCUAAACAGCGUGCUCAUGACAGGUCCAGAUCUUACUAACAGCCUUCUGGGUGUUUUACUCAGGUUUCGGAAAGACCCUAUUGCUAUCAUGGCGGAUGUAGAACAAAUGUUCUACUGCUUCAAAGUAGUCCAGGAACACCGCAAUUUUCUGAGAUUCUUCUGGUACGCAGACAACUCUAUUGCCAAGCCGUUGAUCGAGUAUCGAAUGACUGCUCAUGUCUUCGGGAAUUCGCCGUCUCCAGCAGUUGCAACCUAUGGUCUUAGAAAGGCAGCAGAGAAUUCUGACGAGGACAUUCGGAAUUUUGUUACACAGAAUUUUUAUGUAGAUGACGGACUAGCUUCCGCACCGAAUGUGACUACCGCUGUAUCACUCAUUAAGAGAACCCAAAGGUGUCUACAGGAAAACGGUGGAAUAAGACUUCACAAAGUUGCAUCCAAUUCAAGAGAGGUACUUGAAACCUUUGAUCGUGAGGACUUGGCAGGAGAUAUCAGAGAUCUCAAUCUUUCAACAGACUGCCCACCAGUCCAGCGCAGUCUGGGAUUACUUUGGAAUCUGGCCUCAGAUUCAUUUAUCUUUAGUGCAGGAGUAACUGAAAAGGCUUACACCAGACGAGGUCUUUUAUCAACCAUCAACGGUAUCUAUGACCCAAUCGGAUUUGCAGCUCCUGUUAUUCUGCGGGGUAGGUUGCUCUUCAGAGAUCUCGUUAAGUUGUCUUCUGAGUGGGAUGAACCGCUGCCAGAGGAACGACGUCGGGAGUGGGAAUCUUGGUACAGUUCCCUUGGACAGCUCCGCACUUGUUCUAUCCCUCGACAGUAUGUAAUUGGUACAGUAUACGAGGAUUUAGAAAAGGAAGUACACAUCUUCUCCGACGCCUCAAAGGACGCUGUCGCAGCUGUAGCUUACCUUCGGACCAAAGACACUAAUAAUCAGAUCGGUACAAGCUUUAUCUUUGGAAAAGCGAAAGUCGCACCACAGCAUGGACAUACGAUUCCGCGCUUAGAGCUCUGCGCUGCUGUCUUGGCCACCGAUCUUGGUCGCACCAUAAAUGACCAACUGGACAUUCCCGCGGAAAACAUGCACUUUUACUCUGACAGUAUGGUCGUGUUGGGAUAUUUACAUAAUAGUGUACGAAGAUUUUACGUCUAUGUCGGCAACCGUGUGGACAGGAUACUUGGCUUUACAAAAGCUUCCCAGUGGAGUCACGUUUCUUCUGAAAAGAACCCUGCAGAUGAAGGAACUAGAUGUGUAAAUGCAUGCGAUCUACAAGAAAGUAUGUGGCUGCAGGGAUCAAGUGUUCUAAGGGAGGAUACAGAUCUUGAGACUCCAGGUUAUCCUCUUGUUCAACCAGGCAAGGACGUUGAGGUGAGACAAGAAGUCAAAGUCCUCAAAACUUCCUGUGCAGCACCACAGGGUAUAGGAGCUGAGCGAGUCAAACGUUUCUCUACGUGGAACUCAUUGGUAAGAGGCAUUGCUAACCUCAAGUCCCUUGCAAUUGCUAGUAAAAAUCGAUCAACUACACAUACCCGAAGAGUCACCACAGAUCUUCUUGAGAAAUCCCGGAUCUUUAUACUCCAGGAUGUUCAACAGCAAGUCUACUCUGAAGAACUACAAUGUUUGAGGGAAUCAAAAACUUUGCCUAGUAAGAGCAGCAUCUCUGCUCUGACGCCAAUCUUGGAUCAAGAUGGGAUUCUUCGCGUUGGUGGCCGGCUCAACCGCUCAAACUUCCCGCUGGAGGAUCGGAAUCCUAUCAUAGUGCCUGGAAAGCAGCAUGUGGCUAGGCUCAUUAUCGAACAUUUUCAUUCAGUGGUGCGUCAUCAGGGAAGGCAUCUGACAGAAGGUGCUGUGCGAUCUGCCGGAUAUUGGGUGACCGGUGCCAAGCGCCUAAUUUCUUCUAUUCUCCAUGCUUGUGUUACGUGCUGUCGACUUCGUCGAAAACCAAGCCACCAACAAAUGGCCGAUCUUCCUCCUGACAGAUUAGAGCCAUGCGCUCCAUUCACUUAUGUAGGGGUAGAUGUAUUUGGACCCUGGAACAUCACAACCAGACGUACUCGAGGAGGCGUAUCCCAAUCCAAGCGCUGGGCAGUGCUUUUUACCUGUUUAGUAUCUAGAGCUGCACAUAUAGAGGUGAUUGAGGAAAUGUCUUCUUCCUCUUUCAUAAAUGCUUUACGCCGAUUCAUCUCAAUUCGAGGACCUGUGAGAGAGUUUCGCUCCGACAAUGGAACCAACUUUGUUGGGUGCACUCAAGAUAUGGGAUUCCAGACGAUUAGUGUGGAUGAACCUAAACUGGCCAAUUUCCUAUUGGAGAACAGUACGGUUUGGCGCUUCAAUCCCCCACAUGCCUCCCACAUGGGUGGUGUGUGGGAGCGCAUGAUUGGCACCGCUCGAAGGAUCUUGGAUUCCAUGCUACUGGAUAUGAAAGGUAGAACUCUGACUCACGAAAUACUUACCACUCUGAUGGCAGAAGUAACAGCCAUCAUGAAUUCAAGACCCAUUGCUCCUGUGUCAAUCGAUCCUCAAGAUCCCUCCGUGCUGUCGCCGUCUGCAUUGCUCACUCAAAAGACUUCAAAUUCAUCCGUUAGUUGUGAACAUCUCAGCCAAAAGGACUUAUAUCGGCAUCAAUGGAAAUGCGUUUUGGCAGAAGAGUUUUGGAAAAAGUGGCGGAGAGAGUACCUCGUAAACUUACAGUCGCGCAACAAGUGGCAACAGCAACAGAGAAAUCUCAAAGAAGGUGACAUUGUGCUAAUGAGAGAUCGUAGUGUUGCUCGCAUGGAAUGGCCUCUUGGAAUUAUAAAUCGUGUGUUCAAGAGUGACGAUGAACUUGUGCGAAAAGUGGAGAUUCGCAUUGUACGAGACAACAAAAUCUCAUAUUUUGUCCGCCCGGUGACCGAAGUUGUAUUUCUUACCAGUUCUGAUUGACUUGGUUUAUUUUAGUUAUGUAGGUGAAAUUAUUUCUGAUGAUAAGAAACUUUGAACAUUUCUCAUGUUUUCUGAGUGUCACAAAUCUGAACAAUCUGUUUGUGUUUAAGUAGUGAUAUAGAUCAUAUCAGGAGGGGAGUGUUAUGUUACCAUUAUUGUAUCACAGGGUUAAUUUGAUUAUAAUAUGAUCCGGACAUUACGGUCCGAGUUUUAGUAUGAUCCGGACAUUGCGGUCCAAGCUUUAGUAUGAUCCGGACAUUGCGGUCCGGACGUUAGUCGUACCCUUUGGCAAUCUUAGAGGAAGUUUGCAAUGGCGUGCUCCGGCACUGUACACAUUUCAUGUCAAAGGAAACUUUAGGUCCCCCACAGGUCUUUUACCUUCCUCCGGGGAGUUUUGUGGAAUAAAGUCGUAUAACAUCACA